CCCUUCUCAAUCGCAUCUGAUCCUACUCUGAGAUCACCUACAGAAGAUUCCUUCAUAUUUCCACCGACUACCUCCAAAUAUGGCCCUUCUCCAUUUGGCAAUUUGUCUUCCACACUUGAAUCCUUCAUUUGACUAUUAUCAAUCACCUUGUCAUCAGAGAAGUCUGAUCCAUCUUUUGAGGCCUGCUGAGCAAGUUCUUGAGAAUUGGA
rnacentral:misc_RNA from 1 species